CCUUGGCAAACUGAUUUCACUGCCGUUCCGUAUUCUAUGGAAGCUUAUCACCAACAGUAUCAUCGGCGCCAUUAUCCUGUGGGGCAUCAACCUUUUUGGCGUCGGCAUAGAAAUCACCUUUCUAAAGGCGCUCAUUGCGGGGAUAUUCGGCAUACCGGGCGUCGUACUUGUCCUCAUUGCACAUGCGCUGGGCCAUUGAAGAUAGAAUCGGGAGCCGGCAUAGCGCCGUAUCGUCUCGAAAAAUUAUGCGGGAAAGGUUGGAUAUUCAGGCGCCAUACGAACAUGUCAUUAAAUUUGAUAAAUUCGUUAAAAAUUUUCAAAAAACCUAAAAAAUACCCUUGACGAAGAAAAACCUCUGUGUUAUAUUAUGACAGUCGCGCUGCGGGAGGCAGAGGCCUUUGGAGGCGCGGGAAUGUACCCUGAAAACUACACAAUGCAGAGAGGUUAGAGAUA
rnacentral:rRNA from 1 species